rnacentral:rRNA from 1 species
UACGUAGGGUGCGAGCGUUGUCCGGAAUUACUGGGCGUAAAGAGCUCGUAGGCGGUCUGUCGCGUCGGCUGUGAAAUCCCGCGGCUCAACCGCGGGCUUGCAGUCGAUACGGGCAGGCUUGAGUUCGGUAGGGGAGACUGGAAUUCCUGGUGUAGCGGUGAAAUGCGCAGAUAUCAGGAGGAACACCGGUGGCGAAGGCGGGUCUCUGGGCCGAUACUGACGCUGAGGAGCGAAAGCGUGGGGAGCGAACAGG